UACAGAGGUCCCAAGCGUUGUUCGGAUUCACUGGGCGUAAAGGGUGCGUAGGUGGCGAGGUAAGUCGGAUGUGAAAGCUCGGAGCUCAACUCCGAAAUGGCAUUGGAAACUACCUUGCUCGAGGGUUGGAGGGGGGGACUGGAAUUCUCGGUGUAGCAGUGAAAUGCGUAGAUAUCGAGAGGAACACCAGUGGCGAAGGCGAGUCCCUGGACAACUCCUGACACUGAGGCACGAAAGCUAGGGGAGCAAACAGG
rnacentral:rRNA from 1 species